CCCUUAGAUGUCCUGGGCCGCACGCGCGCUACACUGACAUGUUCAACAAGCCUCCUAGUUCGACAGGAUUUGGGAAAUCUUUGAACGCAUGUCGUGAUAGGGAUAGAUCAUUGCAAUUAUUGAUCUUGAACGAGGAAUUCCUAGUAAACGCGAGUCAUCAGCUCGCAUUGAUUACGUCCCUGCCCUUUGUACACACCGCCCGUCGCACCUACCGAUUGAAUGUUUCGGUGAAGAUUCCGGAUAGGACUUUUUUGAUUUAUUUCAAUUUUGUCUUAAGAGCUAUCUAAACCUCAACAUUUAGAGGAAGGUGAAGUCGUAACA
rnacentral:rRNA from 1 species